CAGCAGCCGCGGUAAUACGAAGGGUGCAAGCGUUAAUCGGAAUUACUGGGCGUAAAGCGCACGCAGGCGGUUUGUUAAGUCAGAUGUGAAAUCCCCGAGCUUAACUUGGGAACUGCAUUUGAAACUGGCAAGCUAGAGUCUUGUAGAGGGGGGUAGAAUUCCAGGUGUAGCGGUGAAAUGCGUAGAGAUCUGGAGGAAUACCGGUGGCGAAGGCGGCCCCCUGGACAAAGACUGACGCUCAGGUGCGAAAGCGUGGGGAGCAAACAGGAUUAGAUACCCGGGUAGUCCCUGUCUCUUAUAC
rnacentral:rRNA from 1 species